AGUAGUCACGUAGUUUGAUCCGUGGCUACAGAACGAACGCUGGCGGCAUGCCUAACACAUGCAAGUCGAACGAGACCUUCGGGUCUAGUGGCGCACGGGUGCGUAACACGUGGGAAUUUGCCUCGGGGUAUGGAAUAACUCAGGGAAACUUGAGCUAAUACCAUAUAAUGUCUUCGGACCAAAGAUUUAUCGCCCUGAGAUAAGCCCGCGUAGGAUUAGCUAGUUGGUGGGGUAAAGGCUCACCAAGGCGACGAUCCUUAGCUGGUCUGAGAGGAUGAUCAGCCACACUGGGACUGAGACACGGCCCAGACUCCUACGGGAGGCAGCAGUGGGGGAAUAUUGGACAAUGGGCGAAAGCCUGAUCCAGCAAUGCCGCGUGAGUGAUGAAGGCCUUCGGGUUGUAAAGCUCUUUUACUCGGGACGAUAAUGACGGUACCGAGAGAAUAAGCCCCGGCUAACUCCGUG
rnacentral:rRNA from 1 species